UUUGUAGGCGGCGCUGUUAGUCGGGUGUGAAAGCCCUCGGCUCAACCGAGGAAUUGCGCCCGAUACUGCAGUGCUUGAGGGAGACAGAGGUAAGCGGAACUGAUGGUGGAGCGGUGAAAUGCGUUGAUAUCAUCAGGAACACCGGUGGCGAAAGCGGCUUACUGGGUCUCUUCUGACGCUGAGAAACGAAAGCUAGGGUAGCAAGG
rnacentral:rRNA from 1 species